AUCCCCUUUACAAGUGUCCUUCCCCAGGGUCCUGACUUCAACCAGUGAACUUUCCUUCCGUCCCUUUCCGCAAACCCCAGCCAAAUUUGCAGAUGAGACCCUUUCCCUCUGACAGCGUAACUACUUAGCAAGCUCCCUUUCCCAUCACCUUCUGAAGCCCAGCCUUGCAUGAUUUCCACUGUCUUUCACUACCUCUGCACGCUGAUGUUCAGGAAAAAUAGUCCCCUCCCACCCUGUCCAGGUUAGAUAUCAUUCAGCGCUCUCUGGACAGGCUUGUGCAGCAAUUUGGAAGCCAAAACACCAAGAUGGGAAGCAGAAACCGCCUCCCUGAUAGAGAGAGAUGUUGCUCCAUAUCAUCACAGUGCUGAUGUAAACCACAUCGGAGAAUUCCUAGGCAAGCAUCCAUCCAGUUCUACUGAAUUCUUCCAAACAUUGUGUUUUGACCUCCUCUUAGGACAACUAGGGACCACUUCAUGAUGCUCAUGCUGAGGUUCUUAUUGUCAUUGGGUCUGGAAUGGAGAAACUGAUGACUAUCCUACCACAAGUACUGGAUGAACCAAUAAGAGCAGAUUCCUACUCAGGAAUCCUUUGUGCCAGAGCAUUUAUGAUCGCUAGCUCAGGUAGCACCAAACUUUCUGUCCAGAUGGACCUAGUCAGCAAGAAACUGCCUUCCACAGUUGUGUCCUUGCUGUUGCUGCCGCUGCUGUUGCUGCUGCUGAGACCAGCCAGAAGAGGCUGUCCUAACAGCCCUG